UACGUAGGGUGCGAGCGUUAAUCGGAAUUACUGGGCGUAAAGCGUGCGCAGGCGGUUUUGUAAGCCAGAUGUGAAAUCCCCGGGCUCAACCUGGGAAUGGCAUUUGGGACUGCAAGGCUUGAGUGCGGCAGAGGAGACUGGAAUUCCUGGUGUAGCAGUGAAAUGCGUAGAUAUCAGGAGGAACACCGGUGGCGAAGGCGGCUUUCUGGACACUAACUGACGCUGAGACGCGAAAGCGUGGGGAGCAAACAGG
rnacentral:rRNA from 1 species